GAAAUGCGAUAAGUAGUGUGAAUUGCAGAAUUCAGUGAAUCAUCGAAUCUUUGAACGCACAUUGCGCCCCUUGGUAUUCCAUGGGGCAUGCCUGUUCGAGCGUCAUUUGUACCCUCAAGCUUUGCUUGGUGUUGGGCGUCUUGUCGGAAUAUCCGACUCGCCUUAAAUACAUUGGCAGCCGGCACUUUGGCCUAGGAGCGCAGCACAUUUUGCGAUCGUAAGCCGUUGUGACAGCAUCCAUAAGAAUUAUUUUACCACGUUUGACCUCGGAUCAGGUAGGGAUACCCGCUGAACUUAAGC
rnacentral:misc_RNA from 1 species